UACGUAGGGGCAAGCGUUGUCCGGAAUCAUUGGGCGUAAAGAGCGCGUAGGCGGUCCGGUAAGUCGGUUGUGAAAACUGGGGGCUCAACCCUCAGAGGCCGACCGAUACUGUCGGGCUAGAGUCCGGAAGAGGCGAGUGGAAUUCCUGGUGUAGCGGUGAAAUGCGCAGAUAUCAGGAGGAACACCAAUGGCGAAGGCGGCUCACUGGGCUGACCUUGACGCUGAGGCGCGAAGGCGUGGGGAGCGAACGGG
rnacentral:rRNA from 1 species